GGGUCAGUAGGUUGGUCGUGCCACCGGUACGUACUGGUCUCACUGAUUCCUCCUUCCUGAAGAACCGUAAUGCCAUUAAUUUGGUGUUGCGGGGAAACAGGACUGCUACUUUGAAAAAAUUAGAGUGUUUAAAGCAAGCUAACGCUUGAAUACAUUAGCAUGGAAUAAUGAAAUAGGACGAUCGAUCCUAUUUUGUUGGUUUCUAGGAUUGACAUA
rnacentral:rRNA from 1 species